CUCUCCGGUGAGAUACUGACUGUACCUGCAGAGCUAGAUUGCUUUUAUCCCUGAACUAUAUACUGCAGACACUCAAGAUUGGUGCCAGAAGAGGAGAAAGGGUCACAGUGGGUAGAGGAAUGAGAGAUGUGGAAUAAGAAGAAUCUCAGCUGAAAUGUAUCACUGUGGUCUGACUUUGAUGUCUUGACUGGCACUUGGGGAUGACACAGAGGAGCAUAAUACAACUACUUUCCACAAGUUCAAGUAAUAUAUCCCUUCAGGAAACUUUAAAUCCAUGAAUAAAACAUAGUACAGUAAGAAGAACUGAUGUUUAAGAAUUACCACAGCCUGAACAGAAGCAUGAGCCAUAUGACAGGCCUAAGGAAUGCUAUGGAACUACAUAUUCCAAGUAUGGACCAACUUGGAAUUCAUACGACGAUAAUUUAAAGUAGCAAGGUAAGAAAGGCCUCUCCUCUUAGUAGAUAUGCAUGUGUUUCUGUCAGUUCUCUGAUGGGA